CAACUGGCACCCUGCCAAGCUUCUCACCCUGGCCAGGGAUGGCACACUCCUGGCUACAUACACAGACCCAGCACUAGUGUACCCAUCUGGUCUACAUGUGACCCCUGCAGGCCAGGUGCUGGUCUGUGGAAACUGGUCCCACACUGUACUACAGGUGGGCUGGGAGGGAGAGAGUAAGCUGGCUACGCUGGCUACUCAGGAGGAUGGAGUGAGCUGGCCACGGUCAGUCUGCUACAGCAGCACAACAUCAUCCAUCAUUGUGGGACAGUGGGACGACACCAUCCUUGUUUUCAGAGUGGAAUAGUGUGUACAUUCGCUGCUGAGUCAGAACAAGGAUGCUGAGGAUGUGGUGGACAAGGAUGACAUGACUACGCAGAAGCAACUGCUAAGCACAGAAGACAACGGAGUAGUGAAAGGCUCAGCCAAAUCAAAGUCAAGCGAUGUGAGGGUGACACAGCCUUUCCAUGUCCUUGUAUUGCAACAUGAAGGACAUUUUAGCUGAAACUAACAAGGGAGAGAACUGUAGAUCUGCACCAGCACAGAGCACCAGCAUUGAUAUCGAGUUGGCCCAGCAACCGCACGAGUCCCGCCUGCAGGAGCCCCAGUCCAGAACGACCCUUCCCCUCCCCUGACUUCUAACUCCUCCCCCUUGACCUCCUGACUCAAAAAGUCAGCAUCGUUGAACAACUCCGUUCUGCAGAAAAUUCCGAGCAUGAUUCUGGUCUGAACAAACACAAUGCCCACGUCAAGUUGUCCACACAUAAGCCUGGGUAGUUCUGUUAAGCUAGAGUUCCGCGUUGGCCUGAGAGGGACGAGUUUUACAAACACGAAAAGUUAUAGCUGUAGUUAUGGUAACGCUAAAAGUCAGUUGUUGCUGUUGGACAUCACAACAAAUAUCCUGAAGAAUAAAAAGUUCAAUAACUUGUUCCAAUCUUUAUGGGACAAACAGAAAUUGGACAGGAGAAAAUCAAGGAACAAUAAAAGCGUAAGCUUUCCUAGUGGGAUGCUUCUGCUGUUGAUAGUUUGGACGACAAUAGGGUUACGGACUGCCCCAGAUUGUCCUCUCAGCGGCCAAAAUAUCAUAAUAGAACGGACUUUUGGCAAUGUUACCGACAAAGAAAGGCAGUAAUGACUUGGUUGUGAAUACCCAGAGCACGAUACAUCCAUGCUGACACGAAAAGGCAGUAAUGACUUGGUGGUGAAAACCCAGAGCACGCUACAUCCUUGCUGACAAAGAAAUGCAGUAAUGACUUGGUUGUGAAUACCCAGAGCAUGCUACAUCCAUGCUGACACAGAAAGGCAGUAAUGACUAUGCUGUGAACACCCAGAGCAAGAUAUAUCCAUGCUGACACAGAAAGGAAGUAAUGACUAUGCUGUGAACACCCAGAGCAAGAUAUAUCCAUGCUGACACAAAAA